GUUCAAGCUGACACUUCAGUUUACUGAAGAUUAUCCUAACAAGCCACCUACAGUGCGAUUUGUUUCUCGGAUGUUUCAUCCUAACAUUUAUGCUGAUGGGAGCAUAUGCUUAGAUAUACUACAAAACCAGUGGAGCCCCAUAUAUGAUGUAGCUGCUAUACUCACAUCCAUCCAGUCGCUGCUUUGCGAUCCAAACCCAAAUUCACCUGCCAACUCUGAAGCUGCCCGCCUAUUCAGUGA
rnacentral:misc_RNA from 1 species